UAUCAUAUCUACGAUCCCAUGACCAUACAAAAGAGGCCAAAAUAUCUCAACGUUCCACAUCUCCCACAACCCCACCAUAUGCACGUUCUUCAAAAAAAAAUCCCAAAUAGUUAUAACUUGGCCCAUAAAUAUCACCCAUAAAAAAAAGAGAACCUACUCUUGAACCUACUCUUAAACCUAUUCUCAACAAGUAAGAAAAAAAAACACCUAUUCUAUUACCUAUUCUUUCUUCACGAAAGAGAAGAAAAAAAAUAGCAAGGCGAAGAUGGUUGAGCUCAACAACGCCGUCAAUGGAGUGCCCGGGUCCACUGCCCUCAACACCAACCUGCAUGCCUUCCAACCCCAUCUCUAAUGCCGUUGUGCCUCAACUUACAUGCCGUGGCAGCCUUCACCCUCAACAUUGCCGCUGCCUAAACUUUAUCGUAGCCGCGACCUCCAACUUUGCUGUGACCUCCAUCUACAACUCUGCUGUGACUCCAAUGUAAUCGUGAAACCGGUGUUGCGCAAUGCACCACGCCCACCAACUGUUCGAUGAAAUGCCCAAGAUGCAUUUUUUGACGACGAACCUAACCUGCAUAUAGAGAGAGAGCGGUGCUCUUCUCUUCAUAAAAAAAAAAAAAAUGUCAUCAAAAGAGAGAGAGAAAUUACUCCUCUAAUUAGGAAAGAGAGAGCUUUGUUACUAAAAAGGAGACAAGGAAGGGAUUUUCCCACCAUCGUUGUCCCAUGAAUAUAAAAGAGGCAAAGGAGGAUUAUCCAUCUUUGUUGUCCUAUACCUUCAAAGGAGAUAAAGAGAGAAAUUGCUCUCUUAAUUCUCUUAUAAUUGGGAGGCAAAAGAAAUCAAUCGGGUUACCGAUUGUUACUCUUUUGAUUGUCCUUUUAUUGGAAGAAUAACGGGAUGUUCGAAAAAUAAUCGACCCUCUUGAUUCUAUCCAGAGUCGAACCUCUCGAUUUGGCCAAAUUAGACCAAAUUGAGAUUUAAUCGCAUUCAAUAAUUGGACACUUUAUGCUCCAAAUUAAAUCAAGUCAUGAUGUCGAAGUUGGUUUUAACCUUUUCAUUAUAAUUAAUGUGAGUUGAAUUUUUGUUA